UGUUGUAAAUAAAAAUAUGCCCUUUUCCCUUAUGGGGUAUCCAAGAGCCCAUAUAGAGUCCUUACAUAGGUUCCCUAUUGGUAGGAGAAAAUAACAGAGGCCAACCAGAGAAUAUUGAGAAGCAAAGCAGCUAGUAAGCUUGAUCUUUAUUAAUCUGUUGCAACAGGGUGCUCCCUCACACGCAGGAGAGGAAGAGGACCCCCAAAAAUGCUGUGCAAGGGCUUAUAAAGACUUUUGAAAUUCCCAUCCUCUAGAUCAAGACCACCCCCAGAAACAUUAUGCAUUCAUCACAGAAGGGGUGUAACCUAAGACCACCCCUCAGAUACAUCCCACCUACAUCACAGAAAUUUAAAUGUUGUUUUUCUCCUGUCACAGUUUAUCUCCUGUCUGGCAAGUUACUUGAUUGGAUUGCCUGGGGAGCCUGGCCAUUCCUUUGUAGUGGUAAAAUACUUAUUUCCUGGGCCAGGUCACAGGCUCACACCUUAUUCAAACAGACAUAUCCUUGAGACAGGAUUUGUGAGGAAAGAGACAAUGGGGAGGCUUUUCCAUCUUUACCAUGCAGAGAAACAUUUGCUCAGUUUAGGAAUCAAAAUGGUUCCAGGUUGGCCUUCCUGUGCUGAUCUAUGUACGUGUGGUUAUGAACGUUGCCAUAUAUCUAAAACCAUAAAAUUCCUAUCACAUUAUCCCCCCUUUGGGGCUAGAAUUUUUCUUAAAAAUUUUUGCCCCACAAAUAAUAACAUCGUAUGUUGUAAAUGGAUGCCUUUGUAUAAAUAUAUCAUAGAAAAAUAACAUAUGUUGCAUUUUGUUACUAAAUUACUUGUGGCAUUCUAGCUCUUGGGAGAAACAUUUUCUCAAUAGUGCCUAUGCUUUACAUUUAGCAGGAAGGUCCUCUAAUGACUGAAAAAUGCAGUUGGUGUUUUGUCCUUCGCCAUUUUUGUGUUUCUCAGGUGUCAAGCUAGCUCUUCUGUGGUCUCACAUCGGCAUGGUGUCACAGCAGUGGCAAUCCUGUCUGUUGAAUCCACUUAGGGCUUUCACAUUAACCAUGUUGCCUGGCACUCACCACAGCUGGCACAGGUUUAGGACACGUCAUGAGAGAAAUGUCUUUGCCUUGGCCAUUCUAUGGGAUUUUAUUAUUAUAGGCUCUGGUCUUGCACUCAUGGGAAGUUGCUCACUUGCACUUAAAGGACCAAAAAGCUAAUUCCAGCCUGGAUACACUUGCCCAAUUCAAACUGAGUCCAAUUUGAAUUUAUCUUGCCCCAAUGGUUCUCAACUCUUCAAACCAAUCUGUUAAAAGAAACCAUUCUCAAAAAGGGCAGUUGUCCAAAUAAGUCAAUUUAAGUCUAUAAGGGAUCAUUCCUGCUAAACCAAAGCCUAUUCACCUUCAUGUAUCUUAGAAGCUUCUCCUUGGUAAAGCGAGUUUUAGCACAUUUUUAAAAUGGGUAGGGAAGGUUGGCAUAGUGCCAGGUGGGACAAUCUAAACAUUGGACUACGCAAUAGCGCGAGCUAUUAGAAAGUAUAAAAUGCAUGAGAAUUCUCCAUUGGUGUGUAAGCAAUAAGACAUUAAACAUAAAAACAAUUACACACAAAAAUACCCCCCCCCUUUGUGGAAAUAACACACUGUCAGACACAUUUCAACAUUCCUACGUAAUAACACAUAAUAC
rnacentral:lncRNA from 1 species